UACAGAGGUCUCAAGCGUUGUUCGGAUUCAUUGGGCGUAAAGGGUGCGUAGGCGGCGCGGUAAGUCGGGUGUGAAAUCUCGGGGCUUAACUCCGAAACUGCAUUCGAUACUGCCGUGCUUGAGGACUGGAGAGGAGACUGGAAUUUACGGUGUAGCGGUGAAAUGCGUAGAUAUCGUAAGGAAGACCAGUGGCGAAGGCGACUUCCUGGCCUGUUCUUGACGCUGAGGCGCGAAAGCUAGGGGAGCAAACGGG
rnacentral:rRNA from 1 species